GAUGAACGCUGGCGGCGUGCCUAAUACAUGCAAGUCGAGCGAACAGACAAGGAGCUUGCUCCUUUGACGUUAGCGGCGGACGGGUGAGUAACACGUGGGUAACCUACCUAUAAGACUGGGAUAACUUCGGGAAACCGGAGCUAAUACCGGAUAAUAUUUCGAACCGCAUGGUUCGAUAGUGAAAGAUGGUUUUGCUAUCACUUAUAGAUGGACCCGCGCCGUAUUAGCUAGUUGGUAAGGUAACGGCUUACCAAGGCGACGAUACGUAGCCGACCUGAGAGGGUGAUCGGCCACACUGGAACUGAGACACGGUCCAGACUCCUACGGGAGGCAGCAGUAGGGAAUCUUCCGCAAUGGGCGAAAGCCUGACGGAGCAACGCCGCGUGAGUGAUGAAGGUCUUCGGAUCGUAAAACUCUGUUAUUAGGGAAGAACAUACAUGUAAGUAACUAUGCACGUCUUGACGGUACCUAAUCAGAAAGCCACGGCUAACUACGUGCCAGCAGCCGCGGUAAUACGUAGGUGGCAAGCGUUAUCCGGAAUUAUUGGGCGUAAAGCGCGCGUAGGCGGUUUUUUAGUCUGAUGUGAAAGCCCACGGCUCAACCGUGGAGGGUCAUUGGAAACUGGAAAACUUGAGUGCAGAAGAGGAAAGUGGAAUUCCAUGUGUAGCGGUGAAAUGCGCAGAGAUAUGGAGGAACACCAGUGGCGAAGGCGACUUUCUGGUCUGUAACUGACGCUGAUGUGCGAAAGCGUGGGGAUCAAACAGGAUUAGAUACCCUGGUAGUCCACGCCGUAAACGAUGAGUGCUAAGUGUUAGGGGGUUUCCGCCCCUUAGUGCUGCAGCUAACGCAUUAAGCACUCCGCCUGGGGAGUACGACCGCAAGGUUGAAACUCAAAGGAAUUGACGGGGACCCGCACAAGCGGUGGAGCCUGUGGUUUAAUUCGAAGCAACGCGAAGAACCUUACCAAAUCUUGACAUCCUUUGACAACUCUAAAGAUAGAGCCUUCCCCUUCGGGGGACAAAGUGACAGGUGGUGCAUGGUUGUCGUCAGCUCGUGUCGUGAGAUGUUGGGUUAAGUCCCGCAACGAGCGCAACCCUUAAGCUUAGUUGCCAUCAUUAAGUUGGGCACUCUAAGUUGACUGCCGGUGACAAACCGGAGGAAGGUGGGGAUGACGUCAAAUCAUCAUGCCCCUUAUGAUUUGGGCUACACACGUGCUACAAUGGACAAUACAAAGGGCAGCGAAACCGCGAGGUCAAGCAAAUCCCAUAAAGUUGUUCUCAGUUCGGAUUGUAGUCUGCAACUCGACUACAUGAAGCUGGAAUCGCUAGUAAUCGUAGAUCAGCAUGCUACGGUGAAUACGUUCCCGGGUCU
rnacentral:rRNA from 1 species